rnacentral:lncRNA from 1 species
UGAACAUUUUGGUAUCCGUGGGAAGUUCCUAGAAUUAAUCACCUGGAGAUAUCAAAGGAUGACUGCAUAUAAGAAAAAGAAGAAGUGAAUUAGACACCAAGUCCCUCUUAUGUGCCUGAACUUGAGGAAAAUAUUUCAUAAAGAACACCUCAUAUUACCAUUCACCUAUGCAGCAUCUUUUACAAGCACUGAACUCUUACAAAACUUCAAGCCACUGUUCCAAAUUGGUUCAACCAUGAAUACUGCUUCCCAGGAGACUGCAGACCUUGAAAACCGGGUGCUACUGAGGAGACAAGACUUUCAAAGUGAAUAUAAAAGAAAAAAAAAGCAAUCAUAAGUGAAAAGCCCACAUUUCGAAGAUACAAAACACAUCUAAGCUUUCAGUUAUUGUAAUUAUAGUCAUUUGAAACUAUAAAAGGAAAUAUUCCAUAAAUGUUCAUUUUAUAAAUAUAUGCUGAACAUUGAAUAGUGCCUCAGUAUCACACUAAAUAUUAUGAGAAAUAAGCACAACAUGGAAGGAUUCAUCUAUUUUUCAAGACAUUUAUGAUCUAGUAAGGAAGAACAUAUUAAUACACAAACAUAGAGCAGCAAAAUUUUGAAAGGAAUAAAUUAAUUACUGAAUAUGAGACACCAACCACUCUUGAACUACACCAAGGAUUAGUAACAUUCGUAAAUGCUGUAUAACUUUAAUUCAUAUUUGAUUACUCUCAACUUUUGCAGAUGUUUGAGCUUACCUUUUACCACUUAACUAAAAUGCAAGUUCCUUUCCCAUAUAGGAAAUCCAGACCCCAUAAGACAUAAACUGUACUUGUAUCACUUCCUAUCAUUCUGCUUUGACUGUCUAGGAUUCUGCACUCAUUGCUUUUGCCUGUUCCAUCAUUGGUUCUCUUUCAUAAGCCUAUUAUGUCCACUCAACUUCACACCAAGUCCGGAAUAUAUAGCCACACUUUGCCUUCUCUAAAAUAUUUAUGUGAAAUUCUAUAGGGUUUAACAAUUUGACACAGCAUCUUCAGGAUUUCAUCAAGAAAUUACAAUGUAGAAAAGAAACUUAAAAUUGGUUGCAAAUUAGUAUGUUUUCUGGAAUGUAUCCAAGACUCCAACUAUUCCAAGAAUCUAAGAUCAUUCUCUCCCAACUAUCUAAAUCUCCACACUCUUUUCUCUGGUCUCUUCAAUACAAAUCCCCAAACCAGUUAAUAUCACACACUUCAAAAUUAUGGCACUGCUCAGAAUGUAACCAGACUUACACAAGGGCUGAUCAAAAAAAUAUGGUGUGUGUUUAAAUAAGCAUUAUAGUAAAAGACACAUUUCCAUUAUUCCUCCUCAAAAUAAUCCCUCUUACUGCAAACUCAUGUAUUCUACCAUUCUUGUCAUUUUCUAAAGCACUUCUGGAAGUCCUUUUCUAUGCGUAGCAUUAGUAAUUGUUUCAUCACUACCUCAAUAUACUGAAUCAAUACAAAAGGUUUACUUUUCACAGACAUUUCAACUUAUGCAUGAUCUAAAUGUCCUAUGGUGUAAAUAAGGCGGAUGAGAACACACCAUGCUUUUAUAAGCUUGCCUUUCCACUGGAUAGCACUUAGAAGAAGCUUUCACUAUGUUUUUGAUCACCACUUAUAUAUAAUUGACAUAACCUUUUAAAUCCUUUCAAAUAAAGCAUUUCCU